rnacentral:tRNA from 1 species
UCCGGAGUAGUUCAGAGGAAGAACACAGGAUUCAUAGGUCCUGAAAGCCGCCGGUUCGAGUCCGGCCUCCGGCUCCA